AGUGAACGCUGGCGGUAGACCUAACACAUGCAAGUCGAACGGCAGCACAGUAAGAGCUUGCUCUUACGGGUGGCGAGUGGCGGACGGGUGAGGAAUACAUCGGAAUCUACUUUUUCGUGGGGGAUAACGUAGGGAAACUUACGCUAAUACCGCAUACGACCUACGGGUGAAAGCAGGGGAUCUUCGGACCUUGCGCGAUUCAAUGAGCCGAUGUCGGAUUAGCUAGUUGGCGGGGUAAAGGCCCACCAAGGCGACGAUCCGUAGCUGGUCUGAGAGGAUGAUCAGCCACACUGGAACUGAGACACGGUCCAGACUCCUACGGGAGGCAGCAGUGGGGAAUAUUGGACAAUGGGCGCAAGCCUGAUCCAGCCAUACCGCGUGAGUGAAGAAGGCCUUCGGGUUGUAAAGCCCUUUUGUUGGGAAAGAAAAGCAGCAGGUUAAUACCCCGCUGUUCUGACGGUACCCAAAGAAUAAGCACCGGCUAACUUCGUG
rnacentral:rRNA from 1 species